CCAGGAUUGUAACUCCUCCCCUGCCUCCUUCCCCCCCAGAGCUGUCACCCCUACCCUCCCUCCAUCCUUAGAAGGUGCUCCCUCCCCAUUUUCCCUAUCUCGACAUUGCCGGCGGUUCCCCACUAUAGGGUCGGCAUCUCAAGUGGAAAAGGAGGCAGUUCAAUAUUGGUUGCUUAUGAUGCUAUUAUAGUUGACGUGUCCACUGUUCACAGGUGCUCCAUGUGUUAAGCAGCCAAGUUAACUAUAGCGUAUAGUGUUUCAUCCGAUAGGAUUCCAAUACAAGGAUCUAAUUAGAGGCCAAUAUGAAAAUCCUGUCAGAUUUUGGAACCAGUCCUUUUGGGCUCUAUUGAAUAGGAUUUUAUAUACAAUAAUCUAAUAUAAAAAUCUUAUCGGUGUGCUGGAGUCUGGUGUAGCGGUCUAAGCUCCCAAAUCCGGACCACACAUGCCUCCUCCUAGACGGGGAUUCGAGCCCUGGCUCGGCCGACUGUCUGUGCCCUUAACCACUUCACCCUUCUCUAUAUCUGUCUCCAAAUCAAUCUUACAUCUGUCCUGGAAAAAAACCAAAUAUAAAAUAACAAGUUACCCUACUCAAUAAUAGAAGCCAAAAGAAAAUCCUAUCAGAUUUUGGAACCAGUCCUAUUGGACUCCUGAAGGAUUCUGUCCUAGGUACACGGUACUAUCCCAUGGGAUAAAAUCCUAUCCUAUAGGAUAGCUUCCAAAAUCUUAUUGAAUUUUCUUUGGGAUUCUAAUUGGAUAUUUUUUGGGGGGAUCCUAUAGGAUGUUUUUGACUAGAGAUAUUGCAUACAAUAACAUAAUUCAACACUAUUUUUAUUUGACCUGCAAUUAAACCUUACAUGCCAGUUAUGGAAAAAGCCAUUGAGGGAAAAAGACAUCACAUGACCGGAUACCAGUUGAUUUGUACAGAUUGUCCAAGAAACUGACAGAAGAAGAGCGAUGAGAUACCUUGUAAUGGACGGCAUUACCAGACAGUAUUAGACAGAGUAACUAGAUCUAAACUUGUCUGGUAAGACAACAAUUAUAAGGUCUAGGUAGGAGCAUCAGAGAAAAGUAGCCAGGGUCUUUGUAGCUACAGCAGCUUGUUGACAGACAAGCUGUGAAGAAAGAAGACAGAAAUAAGUUGGAGAAUUGGAAUAGUUCAUAGCAACACACCAGUGGUGAAAAGUUUUUAAAAAUGUAUUGGAGGUAAUAAUAUACAAUUAUAGUAAGACAUUUAUAACUGGAGCAGAUUCUUUGUCAUAAGGCAAUAUUACACAAUCUUUAAAUUAUUUGAUCUUUAAUGGGACAUGCAAAAAAAUGAUGACAUUACAAUUUCAGAGUUCAGAAUGAGUACACAAAGCUGUGAUUAAAUUAUUGAGUGUUGGUAAACCAGAACUCAGAAGAACAACCCUUGACAAACACCUCCAUCACUUAAUGCUUUUGUGUCCACUUUCCACUCAUUUGUACAGCCAACCUCUUGUUACAGAACACACAGUUUGAGAACUCUGUUUCUUUGUAUACCUUUGUUUUACCUUAACAAUCAUAAUGGUGUUGAAUAGGGCAAUAGGUUGAGAGUUAUAACUGGUUGAGAGUAAUGAAAAAAACAACAACUUCAACAAUAGUGAAUCAACCUCUCAUUUUAGUUUAAAUGCAAUAAUCAGAUUCAGCUAAUGCCACCAGAUUUCACUGGAGAAGAGGAGAGAGAGAGAAAUAAAGAGAAAGUGAGAGCAGGAGAGCCAUAGAGGUAGUUGUGUUUAUUUUUCUCACACAGAUCUCAGGUGUCAGCUGCACAAUAUGCCACGCAGGUACAGUAGGGCCGCUGGACCAAUCACGAGCCAACAAAGGCCCAGAUUCAGCUCUGACUGGGGGAGGGGAAGAGGAAGUGGCUCUUACUGCAACAGUCAUUUCACUGGUAUUCUUUAACUACUGGGUGGGGUGGAAAAUCUACACAAAGGGCAGGAGGCAGGGAGGAACUACUUUUCACAAAUGGGGGGUUAGGCGGAAGGUGCUCACCACAGACGACGUUUAGGACUUUUACCUCAUCCUCUUUUCUUAUGGGACUAUCUCUGUCAGCCUUUAAAGUCUGGUGUCACCUGUUCUGGAUGCUUCCUUCAGCCAGUUGUUCCAUCAUUGUCUUAUUCACAUAUGUAGUCCUUUAAAAAAGACUACCCUACUACAGUCUCCAUCUUUCCAUGUUCUGAACUUUGAACUGGAGUUCACGUGACUUAGAGUCUACACCUGAGCAAUGGCAAUGCCAACAGACAUAGAGGGUCUCUCUCUAAAACAUAGAGUUGACUGAAAACAAUUUCCAAACAGUAAAAAACGAUUUAACUGUGAACACGUCCUGCUUCAGGUAUGCGACAGUGCCAUUACACCUAUAUUGGUUGUUGAGAUGGUGUGGUUGUUUGAGGGGCUUUCAGGGGACAUCAUUACCAGACAGUGUUAGAACACCUGUGUACAGCCCAGCACUGUCAGGUAAGACGUGCUUUGGAAGCCAAAGAAAGGGAAGGUCACCAAAAGCACAUAACUAACUAUAUCCAACCUCAGAGCAUAUCUACUUCUACACAACCCUUAGAAUACUAUUCAAA
ensembl:lncRNA